rnacentral:rRNA from 1 species
UACGUAGGGUGCAAGCGUUGUCCGGAAUUAUUGGGCGUAAAGAGCUCGUAGGCGGUCUGUCACGUCGGCUGUGAAAACCCGAGGCUCAACCUCGGGCCUGCAGUCGAUACGGGCAAACUAGAGUACUGCAGGGGAGACUGGAAUUCCUGGUGUAGCGGUGAAAUGCGCAGAUAUCAGGAGGAACACCGGUGGCGAAGGCGGGUCUCUGGGCAGUAACUGACGCUGAGGAGCGAAAGCGUGGGGAGCGAACGGG